AAUGAACUAUCGCCUGACUGCCGAGAAAACUGUUGUGUAAAAUACUUGAAGAUAGCAUAGUUUCAAAAAAAUUAGAGGGGAGGGGGUGGCGACGGCCACAGCGCAUGGCAAAUCACAUUAAACCCGAUUUCCUAUUUCUGGAAAUCAUAUAUUUGUGUUUAUAAAGGAGACGCACCUAUAGCAGAAAUGUAUGUCAGUUAACUCCAGAUUUCCACUUUCGUAAUUUUUCGUCUAUAUAUAAAGUCCGAGAUACCCGCCAAACGGUGCGGUGCAUGCAACGAUGGAGACCAACAGGAACAUUACACCAACACUCGCUCUGGGGACUUUACACACGCAGGAGAGCCGCGGACUCCAUAGCAACCGGAUUGAGGCGCUGUCCAUUGACUAUAUUUGUAUAAAUAAAGGCAACCAUCAAACUUUACAAUUGCUUUAUUCAGAUUCCCAAAUAUUACGAUGUUUGAUGCUUUUUGUAAGUUUUGACUUUGAAUUCAGUGAAGACUGGUGAUCUCAGCACAGACCAAAGGAACACUUCAGAUAGUCAUAAGAUCUAACCCUGUAAAACCUAGAUCUUUGGACUCAAACUAAAAAAUUAGAAUUACUAAUCUCGAUUUGUUUUCAAUUUUGCUUAUUUUAUGUGUGACUAUUCACUCUUUGAACAUUUUGAUAUAUUUAUGUUUAAUAUCUGUUCAACUUUAACUGAUAAAGCCCGCUUAUCUUCUUUUUGUUUAACACGAGGGAAUUGAAUACGCAUUUCUAACAAUAACCAAUUACAUGAUUUUUACUGUGAUGUAUACAGUGGAAGAGGUACAAUUAAAAUCUAUCCGGACAUGUGGCCUUUAUCAAUAACAUGUUUUAUAAAAGGCUAACUCAAAAGUUUUAGCUGCGUCCCUGAGGUACUCUUGGUAAGGCAUAUGACCAUUGCAGUAAACCAUCGUAUGCUGUCCAAACCUUUGGAAAUCUUUUCCUGAAAUAUUAUUGUGAUAUAUUCUUCAUGAAAAGUUACAGAUCGUGAAACGUGAGUUGAAUAAGAAAGCAAUAAAACGUGGUACAGUACUCUUGCGGUGUACGUGCAGUUUAAAUGUGCAGGACUUCAAAUAUAGCAUUUCGAGUUAUCCGGAAAAUGUAAGAACCCAAGAUUCCUGACUGUAUUUUGGAAAAUUCCACCAUUUAACGCCUUUGUUACAAGGUGUUGCAAUCGAUUUAGAAAUGACGACAGUAUUUCAGUCAUUUUAAAAUGAUGGGGUCUUGGUCGCCAAGCAUGUGCAAAAACAUAUAAAUAAUAUGCUGACUUAGUUAAACAUAAUACGAUAGACAACGACCAAAGGGAUUUUUUUGUACACAUCACUGCCACUGCCACCUUGUCUGUUUCAAGAGGAUCGCGCUUCUAAAUGGCGGAUGAAACGGCAUACUAAUAUGGAGCUGUCCUCGGGUUCUGGUGCUGAAAAUCAAAUCCUCGAGAGACGGUCAUCUGACAGAUCAUAAACCAACAUUUACCGAGCAGUAAUCUAAUAGUUUUGCUGCUUCAGCCUUUCAUUUGCUACAGCACAACUGGUAGUGUUAUUCCCUUCGUAACGAUUAACCAACCUAGAGAAGUUUGCCACUAUUAGUUGCCAUUUGGUUUACAUUUUUGCACAGACUCAGAUCCAUUAAGAUUGACCAUUUGGAUUAAUUUUGUUGUCUUUCUAAGGAAUUAUUAUUACCGCAAUUAUCUCAGUUCAGUUUAUUAUAAAAGUGUUCAAUUGUCUGUUUGAGAGAUGAAUAUUAUAUCUGACUAUCGCCAAGCUAGCUUCCUAUCUGAAAAAAACGUAAUAUUCAAAUUUUGAUUAGCUGUCUUUUGGAUUAUUUUCCAGUUUUGGGCUGAGUAAUUUCCCAACGGCAUUUAUUGACGGACGAGGAUAAAAAUGUGAACCACCAGGGAAAUGUAACCUCCGCUACCAGAAACUGUUGUUGCUCUGGUUUUAAGUAUCCUGGAUGCCGAUUAUCCACAAAUAGCCACAUUAGUGUAACUAAAUCGUAGACAUUCUUCUUGGAAGAGCCCAGUACUUCGUUUGUCGGGGGAACUGAGGAACUUCCGAAAAGGUAGCAUUUAUUCCAAUCAUAUCAACAUGAUGAUUGGUUUCAAACCCAAUGGAGUACAGAGGAAUACUUGGAGAAAAAGAAAAGCCUUGACGAACUACUCUAGGUGGAGGUGUAGUGGAAGUUUUGACGUAUGAAGGCAAAGCAUCUUCCCACUCCAGACCCCUCACUGAAAAAUGAUCAUCCGCUCAAGUAGAAACCAGGACCAAUUGCAUCAGAUCUGGCAAAAGCAGCACACCAAGAAAAAUACAAGAAAGCUGGCCAUAAAGCACCCCAACACGAAGAUACAAAGGAAGAAAUCUCUUUACUCCUCCAACACUAGCUAGAUUCAGUCCCAUCUCAAAAGAAAUCUAU